UGGGGAAUUUUGGACAAUGGGCGCAAGCCUGAUCCAGCCAUGCCGCGUGAGUGAAGAAGGCCUUCGGGUUGUAAAGCUCUUUCGGCGGGGACGAAACGGUCCGUGCCAACACCACGGAUUAAUGACGGUACUCGCAGAAGAAGCACCGGCUAACUACGUGCCAGCAGCCGCGGUAAUACGUAGGGUGCGGGCGUUAAUCGGAAUUACUGGGCGUAAAGCGUGCGCAGGCGGCUCCUUAAGUCAGAUGUGAAAUCCCCGGGCUUAACCUGGGAACUGCGUUUGAAACUGAGGGGCUUGAGUGUGGAAGAGGGGGGUGGAAUUCCAGGUGUAGCAGUGAAAUGCGUAGAGAUCUGGAGGAACACCGAUGGCGAAGGCAGCCCCCUGGGCUAACACUGACGCUCAUGCACGAAAGCGUGGGGAGCAAACAGG
rnacentral:rRNA from 1 species